CGAGCGACUUAACUAAAUGAAUGCGGUGCUUGCACCAAGUGAUUUUAGNGGCGGUGAGCGGCGGAUGGGUGAGUAACACGUGGGUAACCUGCCUCUAAGCAGGGGAUAACAUUUGGAAACAGAUGCUAAUACCGUAUAAAUCCUAAAACCACAUGGUUUUAGGCUGAAAGGCGGCUUCGGCUGUCACUUAGAGAUGGACCCGCGGCGUAUUAGCUAGUUGGUGAGGUAAUGGCUCACCAAGGCAAUGAUACGUAGCCGAACUGAGAGGUUGAUCGGCCACAUUGGGACUGAGACACGGCCCAAACUCCUACGGGAGGCAGCAGUAGGGAAUCUUCCACAAUGGACGCAAGUCUGAUGGAGCAACGCCGCGUGAGUGAAGAAGGCUUUCGGGUCGUAAAACUCUGUUGUUGAAGAAGAACACGUUUGAGAGUAACUGUUCAGACGUUGACGGUAUUCAACCAGAAAGCCACGGCUAACUACGUGCCAGCAGCCGCGGUAAUACGUAGGUGGCAAGCGUUAUCCGGAUUUAUUGGGCGUAAAGCGAGCGCAGGCGGUUUUUUAAGUCUGAUGUGAAAGCCCUCGGCUUAACCGAGGAAGUGCAUCGGAAACUGGGAAACUUGAAUGCUGAAGAGGACAGUGGAACUCCAUGUGUAGCGGUGAAAUGCGUAGAUAUAUGGAAGAACACCAGUGGCGAAGGCGGCUGUCUGGUCAGUUAUUGACGCUGAGGCUCGAAAGCAUGGGUAGCGAACAGGAUUAGAUACCCUGGUAGUCCAUGCCGUAAACGAUGAAUACUAGGUGUUGGAGGGUUUCCGCCCUUCAGUGCCGCAGCUAACGCAUUAAGUAUUCCGCCUGGGGAGUACGACCGCAAGGUUGAAACUCAAAGGAAUUGACGGGGCCCGCACAAGCGGUGGAGCAUGUGGUUUAAUUCGA
rnacentral:rRNA from 2 species